AUUUAAAUGGCUUAAGGUUUAAAAGCAUAGCAUUGAAGAUGCUGGGAUGAUCAGAAGAUCUUUAAAUA
rnacentral:tRNA from 1 species